rnacentral:rRNA from 1 species
GUCCACGCCGUAAACGAUGGAUACUAGCUGUGGGGUUUUCGGACUCCGUGGCCAAGCGAAAGUGAUAAGUAUCCCACCUGGGGAGUACGUUCGCAAGAAUGAAACUCAAAGGAAUUGACGGGGGCCCGCACAAGCGGUGGAGCAUGUGGUUUAAUUCGAUGAUACGCGAGGAACCUUACCAGGGCUUAAAUGCAGGCUGCAUGGGGUAGAGAUACCCCUUUCUUCGGACCGCCUGCAAGGUGC